rnacentral:rRNA from 1 species
AUUGAACGCUGGCGGCAGGCCUAACACAUGCAAGUCGAGCGAGCGGCGGACGGGUGAGUAAUGUAUGGGGACUGCCCGAUAGAGGGGGAUAACUACUGGAAACGGUGGCUAAUACCGCAUACUAUCGGCUGACCCAUAUGGGAUUAGCUAGUAGGUGGGGUAAAGGUGCACCUAGGCGACGACCUCUAUCUGUUCUGAGAGGAUGAUGAGCCACACUGGGAUUGAGAAACGGCCCAGACUCCUACGGAGGCAGAAGUGGGGAAUAUUGCACAAUGGGCGCAAGCCUGAUGCAGCAAUGCCGCGUGUAUGAAGAAGGCCUUAGGGUUGUAAAGUACUUUCAGCGGGGAGGCGUUAACCGCAGAAGAAGCACCGGCUAACUCCGUGCCAGCAGCCGCGGUAAUUC